rnacentral:miRNA from 1 species
UGGCAGUGUUGCACUUUGGUUU